AAGUCGUAACAAGGUUUCCGUAGGUGAACCUGCGGAAGGAUCAUUAUUGAAUUAUGUUUCUAGACGGGUUGUCGCUGGCUCUUUGGAGCAUGUGCACGCCUGUUUAGAUUUCAUUUUCAUCCACCUGUGCACCUAUUGUAGUCUUUGGUUGGGUAAGGAGGAAGUGGUCAACCUAUCAGCAUUUGCUGGAUUUGAGGAGUCUGCAGUGUGAAAACAUUGCUGUCCUCAACUUGGCCAUGGAGUCUUUUGCCUGCCAGAGUCUAUGUCAAUCAUUAUACUCUAUUGAAUGUCAUUGAAUGUCUUUACAUGGGCUUGUAUGCCUAUGAAAAUUGUAAUACAACUUUCAGCAACGGAUCUCUUGGCUCUC
rnacentral:misc_RNA from 1 species